AGAGUUUGAUCAUGGCUCAGAUUGAACGCUGGCGGAAUGCUUUACACAUGCAAGUCGGGCGGCAGCGCGGGGGCAACCCUGGCGGCGAGCGGCGAACGGGUGAGUAACACAUCGGAACGUACCCAGUUGAGGGGGAUAGCCCGGCGAAAGCCGGAUUAAUACCGCAUAAGUCCUGAGGGAGAAAGCGGGGGACCGCAAGCCUCGCGCGAUUGGAGCGGCCGAUGUCGGAUUAGCUAGUUGGUGGGGUAAAGGCUCACCAAGGCGACGAUCUGUAGCGGGUCUGAGAGGAUGAUCCGCCACACUGGGACUGAGACACGGCCCAGACUCCUACGGGAGGCAGCAGCGGGGAAUUUUGGACAAUGGGGGCAACCCUGAUCCAGCCAUGCCGCGUGCGGGAAGAAGGCCUUCGGGUUGUAAACCGCUUUCGGACAGAAAGAAAUCGCACAGGUUAAUACCUUGUGUGGAUGACGGUACUGUAAGAAGAAGCACCGGCUAACUACGUGCCAGCAGCCGCGGUAAUACGUAGGGUGCGAGCGUUAAUCGGAAUUACUGGGCGUAAAGCGUGCGCAGGCGGAUUGUUAAGCAAGAUGUGAAAUCCCCGGGCUUAACCUGGGAAUGGCAUUUUGAACUGGCAGUCUAGAGUGCGUCAGAGGGGGGUGGAAUUCCACGUAGCAGUGAAAUGCGUAGAGAUGUGGAGGAACACCGAUGGCGAAGGCAGCCCCCUGGGAUGACACUGACGCUCAUGCACGAAAGCGUGGGGAGCAAACAGGAUUAGAUACCCUAGUAGUCC
rnacentral:rRNA from 1 species